rnacentral:rRNA from 1 species
UACGGAGGGUGCAAGCGUUAUCCGGAUUCACUGGGUUUAAAGGGUGCGUAGGUGGGCAGGUAAGUCAGUGGUGAAAUCCCCGAGCUUAACUUGGGAACUGCCGUGGAUACUAUCAAUCUUGAAUAUCGUGGAGGUAAGCGGAAUAUGUCAUGUAGCGGUGAAAUGCUUAGAUAUGACAUAGAACACCGAUAGCGGAGGCAGCUUGCUACACGAUCAUUGACACUGAGGCACGAAAGCGUGGGGAGCAAACAGG